GAUCUGUUAUCGCACUGCCUUGACCGCCCGCACUGCCCUGUGAAGGUGAAAAAGCACCGUGGUGAAAAAGGAGAAGUUGGUGUGCCUGCGUGCAUACAGAAAGAAAGCAAAAUAUGGUGUAUCCUCCCCUCUACCCUAUCGGCCCUAGGCUAAUCCAGCUUUGCAAAAUCUGGUCGCGGUCGGCGGCCUUGUACGGAACUACCGGUGCCGUUGCGGUCGCGUACUUCACCGAGUGGAAAGCAGUUCUUCAAUAUGUGCCAUUGUAUAAUGGAAAAUACAAGGAAGAGUAACAAACUUAUUGGUUGAAGAGGAGCCAUGAAGACUGUAACUCAUUUCCGAAGCAUAGGCACGACUUAAUAAAAUGCCACGAGCGAACUAAA
rnacentral:lncRNA from 1 species